rnacentral:lncRNA from 1 species
UUUGAGAUAUAUUAUUGCUUGCUUCAUGGACGCAUGCAAUCAGAGUAUCAUAGUAUCAUUAACAAUGACAUGGACGAGCUUCUGAAUUAAGUAGAAGAUUGCUUCAUCCCUUCUUGAAUGCUUUUUAAGAGAACCUGACAAACUAACAGGGCACUACGUAAGCCACCUAACAUCCAAAAUUAUAGAACCAAAAAGAUGCAGUAUGCUCAUUUCCUGAUGAUUUAAAAUAGAACAGUUGUGCCUAUAAUAACAUAAGUAGGCUGACCUUAAGUACCUCGUGCAGACUAUCCUCCGAAGCCAUUCGUACACCACUUUUUCCCAAACCACGAUG